CAGUCUCCAGUUACCCCAUCACCACCACCAGCCCAUAGAGACCCCCCAGUCUCCAGUUACCCCAUCACCACCACCAGCCCAUAGAGACCACCCCCAGUCUCCAGUUACCCCAUCACCACCACCAGCCCAUAGAGACUGACCCCCCCAGUCUCCAGUUACCCCAUCACCACCACCAGCCCAUAGAGACCCCCCCCAGUCUCCAGUUACCCCAUCACCACCACCAGCCCAUAGAGACCACCCCCAGUCUCCAGUUACCCCAUCACCACCACCAGCCCAUAGAGACCCCCCCAGUCUCCAGUUACCCAUCACCACCACCAGCCCAUAGAGACCCCCCCCAGUCUCCAGUUACCCCAUCACCACCACCAGCCCAUAGAGACCACCCCCAGUCUCCAGUUACCCCAUCACCACCACCAGCCCAUAGAGACCCCCCCAGUCUCCAGUUACCCUAUCACCACCACCAGCCCAUAGAGACCACCCCCAGUCUCCAGUUACCCCAUCACCACCACCAGCCCAUAGAGAACCGCUCCCCCCCAGUCUUGAAUACCCAGUUGCACACUCAGUUGAAUUAAAUGCAUUCCAGGUGACUACCUCAUGAAGCUGGUUGAGAGAAUGCCAAGAGUGUGCAAAUAUGUCAUCAAGGCAAAGGUUGGCUAUUUGAAGAAUCUCAAAUAUUAAAUAUAUUUUAAUUUGUUUAACA